rnacentral:lncRNA from 1 species
GUAUUCCUCCUUAUUCCUUGCUCCUGAUUAUCAUGUGGGAAAAAACGUCCAAUACUAGCAGGAAUAUAUACCGUGAAAGAGGGUCGCCUUGGAGAAGUCCUCUUUGUGGCUUGAUCUUCUCUCCGCAAACUCCAUUGAUCUUGUAACGGUAAGUAACCCCCAUGACCAGCGCCAUGACUAUUUUAACCUAGUUCGAAUGAAAACCAUAUGCUAACAAUCCUUUUUCCAGGAACUUCCACUCUACUUGAUCGAAGGCUUUAUUCAUGUCAAGCUUGACACUCAAAUGAUCUCUGCCUAUUCUGCAUCUCUUCUUCAGUGCGUUAAAUGCCUCUUGCACUAUAAUAAGAUUGUCCUGAAUUUGUCUCCCCCUAUUAAAAGCAUUCUUCUGGGGGGUGAUGAUAGAAUUCAUUGCUGGUUUCAGUCUUGUUACCAAGAUCCUGGAGAUGAUUUUACAAACAAAGUUACAGCAGCUGAUGGGUCGAAAGUUGGAGAUAGAUUCUGGAUUUUGGGUUUUUGGAGCCAAGGUAACUAGUGCCUCAUUUAUAUCUUCUGGUAGAUUCCAUGUGUCAAAGAAAGAAAUUACUGCCUUACUCACUUCUUCUCCUACUGUGUCCCAUUGUUUUUGGUAGAAUAGACUGUUCAAUAUGUCCGGUCCAGGAGCUUUCAUGCUUCCCAGGCAG